rnacentral:sRNA from 1 species
UCCGAAGUAGUUGACAGAAGAGAGAGAGCACUGUAGAAAUCAUGAGAUUCAUGGAGGCCUCCU